rnacentral:rRNA from 1 species
UACGUAGGGGGCAAGCGUUGUCCGGAUUUACUGGGUGUAAAGGGCGCGCAGGCGGGAUAAAAAGUCAGUGGUGAAAUCCUACAGCUUAACUGUAGAACUGCCUUUGAUACUUUUAUUCUUGAGUUCGGGAGAGAGAGACGGAAUUCCAGGUGUAGUGGUGAAAUACGGAGAUAUCUGGAAGAACACCAGUUGCGAAGGCGGUCUCUUGGUCCGAUACUGACGCUGAGGCGCGAAAGCGUCGGGCGCUAACCGG